rnacentral:tRNA from 1 species
GGGGCAUUAGCUCAGUUGGUAGAGCGCUUCGUUCGCAUCGAAGAGGUCAGCGGUUCGAUUCCGCUAUGCUCCACCG